CCUACGGGAGGCAGCAGUGGGGAAUAUUGCACAAUGGACGAAAGUCUGAUGCAGCAACGCCGCGUGGAGGAUGACACAUUUCGGUGCGUAAACUCCUUUUAUAUAAGAAGAUAAUGACGGUAUUAUAUGAAUAAGCACCGGCUAACUCCGUGCCAGCAGCCGCGGUAAUACGGGGGGUGCAAGCGUUACUCGGAAUCACUGGGCGUAAAGAGCAUGUAGGCGGAUUAAUAAGUUUGAAGUGAAAUCCUAUAGCUUAACUAUAGAACUGCUUUGAAAACUGUUGAUCUAGAAUGUGGGAGAGGUAGAUGGAAUUUCUGGUGUAGGGGUAAAAUCCGUAGAGAUCAGAAGGAAUACCGAUUGCGAAGGCGAUUUACUGGAACACAAUUGACGCUGAGAUGCGAAAGCGUGGGGAGCAAACAGGAUUAGAUACCCCAGUAGUC
rnacentral:rRNA from 1 species